AGAGUUUGAUCAUGGCUCAGGACGAACGCUGGCGGCGUGCUUAACACAUGCAAGUCGAACGGAAAGGCCCUUCGGGGUACUCGAGUGGCGAACGGGUGAGUAACACGUGGGUGAUCUGCCCUGCACUUUGGGAUAAGCCUGGGAAACUGGGUCUAAUACCGAAUAUGACCACGCUCUUCAUGGGGUGUGGUGGAAAGCUUUUGCGGUGUGGGAUGGGCCCGCGGCCUAUCAGCUUGUUGGUGGGGUAAUGGCCUACCAAGGCGACGACGGGUAGCCGGCCUGAGAGGGUGACCGGCCACACUGGGACUGAGAUACGGCCCAGACUCCUACGGGAGGCAGCAGUGGGGAAUAUUGCACAAUGGGCGCAAGCCUGAUGCAGCGACGCCGCGUGAGGGAUGACGGCCUUCGGGUUGUAAACCUCUUUCAAUAGGGACGAAGCGCAAGUGACGGUACCUAUAGAAGAAGCACCGGCCAACUACGUGCCAGCAGCCGCGGUAAUACGUAGGGUGCGAGCGUUGUCCGGAAUUACUGGGCGUAAAGAGCUCGUAGGUGGUUUGUCGCGUUGUUCGUGAAAACUCACAGCUUAACUGUGGGCGUGCGGGCGAUACGGGCAGACUAGAGUACUGCAGGGGAGACUGGAAUUCCUGGUGUAGCGGUGGAAUGCGCAGAUAUCAGGAGGAACACCGGUGGCGAAGGCGGGUCUCUGGGCAGUAACUGACGCUGAGGAGCGAAAGCGUGGGGAGCGAACAGGAUUAGAUACCCUGGUAGUCCAA
rnacentral:rRNA from 1 species